UGUGAUGGUUUUUUGGAGAGACAAGGUGGAAAAGGUAAAUGGGGUUAUGCCUGGCUCCCUGUAUGCCACUCUUUAGAGUCCAAUCUGAGGGCUGAUCGGCUCAUGAGGGUGGCGUGCGAGGAGCCAAGCAUACUUUCUCUCUCUAGCAAUCGAUCUUUCUCUCUCUAGUAAUCUCUCUAUCUCA
rnacentral:pre_miRNA from 1 species